UUGUAAUGCAUUAAUGUUUUUUUUCCUAUAGUGCCAACAGUUCACUUCAAGUUCAGACCUCGAAGCCUAAUGUCGAGACCACGUGCUAGAAAUGCAUUACCUACUUGGGUUGAAAUGAAGAAGAUUCGUAAAUCCCCAUCCGGACCGAACCCAUUAGAAAAUCACCAGCCACCAUCAAAGCAUUAAAACAAUGGAUGCAACAGCCAAUGUGGAAGAUAGGGUAAGGCGACACAAAUUGUAUUGGAGGUGAGAUGUCUCUGUGUAGGACAAGGAUUUUACUUGUAAAAAUCCAUAUGCGAAAGCAAGUAUUGAUGUACUAUUAUAUGCUUCUAGCAUGUACUAAAAGUUCUAAAUGAGUUAGCUCUGGCUCUGACCCCUAGUAAAGGUUAGUUUGGUGUGUAAUGGUAUGUUCGGUUUUCUUCAGUCAGAAGGUAAUCCCAUGUCCUAAUUACGAUAUUCUGCU